rnacentral:rRNA from 1 species
UAAGGAAUAUUGCUCAAUGGGAGAAAUCCUGAAGCAGCAACGCCGCGUGGAGGAUGAAGGGUCUAUGACUUGUAAACCCCUGUAAAGAAGGAAAAAAUUCCCAUUAGAUGGGAGAUGAUGGUACUUCUGGAGUAAGCCCCGGCUAACUACGUGCCAGCAGCCGCGGUAAUACGUAGGGGGCAAGCGUUGUCCGGAUUUACUGGGUGUAAAGGGUGCUCAGGCGGAUUUGUAAGUCAGAGGUGAAAUCUUACAGCUUAACUGUGAAACUGCCUUUGAUACUGCAAGCCUAGAGUAUGGAAGAGAGUGAUGGAAUAUCUGGUGUAGCAGUGAAAUGCGUAGAUAUCAGAUAGAACACCAAUGGCGAAGGCAGUCACUUGGUCCAUUACUGACGCUAAAGCACGAAAGCGUGGGUAGCAAACA